CUUGUUAACCUCUCCACGGAUCUAAUCGAAAACCAACUCCCGUGCCCACCCCAUGUCCACCUGCCUGCGCCCACCUUUGGCCCGGUGCGGCGGCGCCCUUCCGUUGCCCAGAUCACCGGCACCGUUCCCACUCCCAGCGCACCUCUCCCCUCCAGCAAGCCCCUCGAGCUCCCCAUACUGAUCCACCCAGUCGCGACGUAUUUUACUACGGGUGCCACCAGGAUGCCAAGCCGCUGCCGAUUCUGCAGCCCCAUAUUGAUUGUUGACGCUGGAUGGAGAUGACGAGGCAACUGCACAACACGGCCAGAUCUUGGCAAUCGCUACCGUGUGAUUUGAUUUGUGACCAAUCUGGGAAUCCUGGAAUAGUUGCUAAUUGGGAUUUCAACCAGUGCUUUCCUCGAUGAUUCUUCUAGAUGGAAGCCCUCUGUUGAGUUAAAUGGGAAUCAAACUGCACUAGGAAGAACUGUGAUCCGGCCUGUUUCCACUGCUAAACAUCACUAAUUGCUUGGUAUUUUGUCGUGCUGCUGCUCUUGGAUUAUUAUUAUUAUUAUAUUAGCAGUAGCACAACAGUAUUCCUCCAGUAUAUUUUCUAUUUAGUAGAUGUUUAUUUUAGAUUUCAUGAAGAUAUUCUAUAUUAUGUCAUGAAUGCAGAUAACUGUUUAACAGAGAAUAUUCAUGUUUUUUUAGCAGGAUCAUAUUCAUUAAUUCAUGAGGCAAUACGUUGAGCUCACAAGCACUUUUCAUAUCUACCUGAUGACUCCUAUUCAUGUUGCAGAUAAACCAUCCUUCCUGAAAUUUGAUUGCUUUAAUUUUUAGGGUUGCUUAUUUUUUUUUGGUGUAAUGUGGUUGUCUGAAAUUGUCCAUGUCCAUCUGAUACAGUAGUAUCAGUUCUGCAAAAGUAAUCAUUUUAGUUUCCUGCCUGUAUGGAUCAUUGACAAUAAUUUAUCUAAACUCAAUGGAAAUAAAUAGUCAUCAUUUAACAAUCUAAUAUUUUAAUUACUAAUUUCUUAAUAUUCAAGUGACACUUCAUUAAAUUUAAAUUAGGAUAGAUCUCUCCCAUAUGACUAUUUGUUGCCAUCUUACUGAUAUUUCAGUCUAUGUAGUGGUGACAUAAUAAUAGGUACCCAUAAGUAAUUAAGGACAGCUCAAUUGGUUUCUACAUAGUUUAGCUCUGAAUAAAUAGGAUCAACAUUGAAGUUACUGAUUAUGAUUUUAGCUUGUUAUGAUUUUGUUUGGAUCAUAUAUAGCAUUAACAUUGAAGUUACUGUAGGCUUAUGAAGGAGCUUCUUUUUGACAAAAACCAAGCUGUCGAAGGACUGUGGCGGUGUGCCUCUAGUUGAAGAUUAGUAUUUUGUUAUAGUAGUGUGGUUAGGCACUAUUUUUUUGUACGGGAACUAUCUGUAAGUAAGUUAGGCACUAUUAGAUUCAUGGUUGAUAUUUUUUCUCUUUUCUGCAAAGAUACAUCUUGAUGUAUUGCCAUAUUGAAUCAAUAAUAUUUGUUUUCUGUUACCAGUUUA